ACGGCGAAUAUGAAUCGCGAUGGCUAUCUCCGGAGUGCCGGCUUGUAGGGAGCGACCCUCACAAGCAUGUGCGAAUGAGCACAAUGGCAAGUAGGCAAACGAUCUGUCGCAAGUACCAAGUCCUCAUGUCUAAUAACAUGGAAUGUGUCAAGUAUCUCAACGGCCUAUCCCUAUGUCAUCAUGUCUCUAACAUGGAAUGUAGCAGAUAAGUAGUGGCCUAUCAAUAUGUCUCUAUGUUGCAGUUUCAUAGUUUACUAGUUUCAAGUGCCCCUUGAUGACACUCUUGUUCUCUAUGCCAGAGCAUGGCAACUAUGUUCCAAAGUACAUAUUCCAAGUCAUAAUCCUCAUAAGUGAUGUAUUUUCCACUUGCAAAUAAACACUUUUCCCAUAUGCAUGCAUUCUACUCAUAUAGCUCUACUAUAUAGUGACAUUUUCAAAAUACACAAGGCAUGCAUUUUAAGUGCCCUAAAAUUCAUAUAAAUUUCAUUUAGCAUAGAAAUGAAUUUAAAAAUAUUUUACAACAAAUAGAAAGAGCAUAGGGGCCAUUUCGCCCCAUUUCCACGAAGCCAAACCCACCAAAAUCGACUUCUUCGUUUCGCCGAACGAAGGUAUCCACAAGCUUCCUAGUACCCUAGAAGCAUCAAAAAUAGGGUCACCCAAACGAAACGAAGAGCAAAUAGCUCAAUCAUUAAGCUUCUCAAGCUAGGGUUGGGAAAAACUCACCUCAAGUGAAAAACUCUCUCUUAAUCUUCAAAUGGAAGGUAGGGGUCUUCCAAUCUAAUCUAUAUAAAGGUUCCAAACCAAUCAAAUGAGAUCAAGAAGCCUCAAAUCAAGAAUCCCCAAAUCUAACCCUAAAAUCCAAAAUCUAGGGUUUAGACAAGCAAAAAGCUCCAAAACUAAAAUCUAGAGGAAGGAACCUUGCCACUUACCUCUAGGAUGCUCCAAACCAAGCUCAAAAUCUUCAAGGGUUGAAGAUUGAUCCACCACAAAGCUCCAAAAGCAAGCUCCCGAAAAUCCAACGUUCGGGAACCGGUCUCUCCCUGCGCGGGACCAGUCUCUCCCCGCGCAGACGCGCUCGGGGACCGAUCUCGACUGCCAGGGACCGGUUGCCUCGCCGGCUGCGCAGCACUGUUCAUUGGGGGACCGGUCUCUCCUAUCAGGGACCGGUCCCCGAGAGUAAAAACUCUCAGGACUCAGCCAAAACUCUCGAGAUCGAACUUUUAGGCCGGUAUACCAUCAACGGCCCUCCACCAAGUGUGGAAAAGUUCGGAAUACAAAUCGAACACUCGAACCUCGCAAUUUGCGAAGGUCCAGUGUGCUACAUUCACCCCUCCU
rnacentral:lncRNA from 1 species